rnacentral:lncRNA from 1 species
UUGCCUUCUAGGCAGUGGAAAUGGCCCUACCUGGCUUUCAGACAGCUGCUGCUUGCAACACUUGCUAAUGAAGGGGAGGGGAUGUCUCUUGAAACCAGAGAACAAAUGUGAGGUCUUUAUUACCAUUCCUAAUGCCAACAGCAUCUUUUCUCAGGUGGCAGCCCAGAGUUGCUUGCUGCCCAACAACAGUGGCCCAGAUGUUGUCAGCAUCUGCCUGCUUGGCUGAGCCUUUUAUGGAGAGAGGGGGAACAAAGGAGCAAGGGAGGAUCAUAUUCUAGAAGCUGUGUGCACAGGUUUCUCUAACGCCUCCUGCUGCCCCUCCCCCACUUGUAGUCCCUGUGUGGGGAGGGGCCUCUUCUCAUUCCUCUCUGGGCUUCAAGUGUCCAGCCCAGGGCCUGGCUUAGGAAACAUUAGCUGAAUUGAUUGCAGAUGCCUUUUGCCCCUGGGGGGAUGUUUUCAGCCAAGAAUAGCAGGGCUUUUGGAUUCCCCAAAUAAGAGAUUUGACCAGCUUGGGAUUCGGGAAUUCUGCGUCUGCUGCUGUUUUGCUGUGUGACCUUGGGCAAGGCAGAUAUACUCUCUGAGCCUGAGUUUUCACAUUGAUAGAGUGAUGCAUCUAAGGCUCCAGGAAAAGGAAUCCCCUGCCUGAGUUACUGUGCGAGUUUAGUAUAUGCAUGUGACUAGAGCAUUUUCUCCCCCUUUUUGUUUGUUUCUACUUGGGAGAAUAGCAGCUUGGCAUCUUGGAGGAUAACAGCUGGUGCUACUAGGUACCAGGGACUUCACUCACGUGAGCUGCUUUAAUCCUCACAGCAAUCCUUGGAGAGGUGGGCGCCAAUAUCCUUAUUUCUCUAAUGAUUAAACUGAGGAUCAAACAAGAGAAUUCACUCUUUUAAAUCGUGCAGGGAUUCAGGGAAAGAGUCAUUCAAAAUUUCUUCCAGGAUGCUGUAGUGCCAAGAAAUGAGGAAUCUCUGAUCACCAAAGGGUGCUGAGGAAGAUUCCGCCACUGGCUGGGCCAGAGCCAAAGAUGCUGGCCAGGACCUUAUUAAUUCACAGAUUCAUAAAGUAUUCAGCAAUGGGAGGACACUUGCAGACCAUCUGGUGCAAACCCCUCUUUCAUAGAUGGGGAAACUGAGACACUGAGAGGUGCAUCAUUACUCACCAGCUUCCCAGAGCCAGGGAUACCUGGGUUUGAGUUCUGACUCCGUCACCUCCAUCCCUGGCAUCCCUCCAUUCCUCAGUGAGUACCUGCAGAGGAAGCUCAGCCCCUGUUCCAGGGCCAUGCACACAUGGGCCUGGGCCAAGAGGUCCAAGGAAAUACCUGGGAACAAGUGGGACUUCUUCCCAGAGCCUCCAAGGAUGUGCCUCCUCCCUUCCCUCUUGCAUGGGAUGGGGGCGGGAGUGUCAUUAUGAAAACAUCUUCUUUCCUCCCUCUAGGAAGUGGGGUAGCCAUUGCAGCUCUGUGAGUUGGUGGGCUUCCACCCUACCACCUUUGCAAAGCCGUGGCCAGUGGCAGCCCCCAUCCCAGACUCCUUGGAAAACAUGACUGUGCGUCUCCAAGGAGACCAGCUAGCCGGCAUCCACCAAGUGCUUGAGGGAGGGGGCCUGGCACCAUCUCCUUUCUGGCUCCCUCCGUUCCAGAUGGGUGCAUGGCCCACAGAGAGGAACAGCGAGGAGGGUCACAGCGUGGCACUGCGGCCGUGGAACUCAGCCUUCAGUGCCGCUGGGCCUCAUUGACUAGCUCUUCCAACAACCUUGAACAGAUGACCUCCUCUUUCUGAGGCUCCAUGUCUUUAUCUGGGAAAGGGGGGAGACUAAUAGAAGCUAUUUCACAAACAUGUGAGGCUAAAGUCAAGUCAUGGAGGAAAAGUGGGGAAGGCAGGGACCAGUGGGUAGAAGGUGCCAGAAGGGUUGUCUCCCUCCCUCCAAGUCCACCUGUACUCCAAGGCCAGCCAUGGAGCCUGAGCCAAUGUCAGACACAAAAAGAAAGUAUCAGCUUUGUGUUUGGGGACUAAUUUUCCUUCUUUUUUAUUUUUUUAAUUAAUUAAUUUUUUUUUUGUCUUUUGUCUUUUCAGAGCCGCACCUGCAGCAUAUGGAAGUUCCCAGGCUAGAGGUCUAAUUGGAGCUACAGCUGCCGGUCUACACCACAGCCACAGCCACACCAGAUCUGAGCCAUGUCUGCAACCUAAACCACAGCUCAUGGCAGUGCCGGAUCCUUAACCCACUGAGUGAGACCAAGAAUGGAACCUGCAACCUCGUGGUUCCUAGUCGGAUUCAUUUCUGCUGUGCCAUGACGGGAACUCCCCUUCUUUUUUUUCAAUUGAAGUAUAGUUAAGUUAUAAUUUUGUGUUACUUUCAAGUGUACAGCAAAGACUCAGUUACAUAUAUAUGUAUGGAUGGAUACAUGUGUAUCUUUUUCAGAUUCUUUUCCUUUACAGGUUAUUAUAAGAUAUUGAUAUUGAGUAUAGUUCCCCGUACUCUACAGUAGGUCUUUGUUUACCUGUUUUCUAUUUAGUAGGUGUGUAUAUGUUAAUCCCAAACUCCUAAUUUGUUCUUUUGCCUAAUAAGAGCUAUCAUUUAUGUAGCACUUACAAGGCCAGACAUUGUAUCUAAAGUUGACCUGUAUGAACCUACCUUUGUCUCACAACACCUGCAUGAGGAACAUUGCAACAUUUUUAGGUGAGGACACUGAGGCAGAGAGAUGUCACUCCUAGCGUGGGGUCUCUGGAAGAGGUGAGUGCGGGGCUCAGGAAAUCUUAGGAAUGCAUUCAUUUUGAUUUUUUUUUUCCAGAAACAUUGCAUUAAAAUAUGAUUUACCUUGAUUACUAAGUUUUGGGCAUCCUUUUUUGUAUGCAGGCCUCCCUGGCCUCACCCUGCUUUUAGUCAUGUAAACACAGCUAGCUGCUCAAAUGAGGGAAUACCACAAGUAAAGGCUUUCAAACCUAAGUGCUGUGCAAAUAAUGCUGUUUUGUUGCAGUGGUGGUGGUUUGUAUUGUUGGCUUGUGGUGCCAGUAAUACACUUUUGGAUGGGAGGAGAUUUUUCCAAAGGGUAGAAGGAACCCUCUCAGAUUUUUGACUGUUAUAAGUGUGGGUUCCAAUCAUGGGUCUACUGCAGAUGCAUUUUGGGACCUGGAGCAAAUAACACAACCUCUUUGAGCUUUCUUACCUGCAAAAUGGGUCUAUUAGCACCAACCUCAGAUUCCUUGUGAAGACUGAUACAAUUAGUGCAAUUCAUUUGCCAAUGCCCAUAGAUGUCUUGCAGUUCCCCUUUGCAAAUGAAAAAGUACUUUUUUUUUUUUUUUUUUCUGGUUCUAUUCCAUGAAACCCGAGA